rnacentral:rRNA from 1 species
UACAGAGGUCUCAAGCGUUUGUUCGGAUUCAUUGGGCGUAAAGGGUGCGUAGGCGGCGCGGUAAGUCGGGUGUGAAAUCUUGGAGCUUAACUCCGAAACUGCAUUCGAUACUGCCGUGCUUGAGGACUGGAGAGGAGACUGGAAUUUACGGUGUAGCGGUGAAAUGCGUAGAUAUCGUAAGGAAGACCAGUGGCGAAGGCGGGUCUCUGGACAGUUCCUGACGCUGAGGCACGAAGGCCAGGGGGAGCAAAACGGG